rnacentral:rRNA from 1 species
AUUGAACGCUGGCGGCAGGCUUAACACAUGCAAGUCGAGCGGGCGAGGUUGCUUCGGUAACUGAGCUAGCGGCGGACGGGUGAGUAAUGCUUAGGAAUCUGCCUAUUAGUGGGGGACAACAUUCCGAAAGGAAUGCUAAUACCGCAUACGCACUACGGGGGAAAGCAGGGGAUCUUCGGAGCUUGCGCUAAUAGAUGACCUUAAGUCUGAUUAGCUAGUUGGUGGGGUAAAGGCCUACCAAGGCGACGAUCUGUAGCGGGUCUGAGAGGAUGAACCGCCACACUGGGACUGAGACACGGCCCAGACUCCUACGGGAGGCAGCAGUGGGGAAUACUGGACAAUGGGCGGAAGCCUGAUCCAGCCAUGCCGCGUGUGUGAAGAAGGCCUUUUGGUUGUAAAGCACUUUAAGCGAGGAGGAGGCUACUUGGAUUAAUACUCUAGGAUAGUGGACGUUACUCGCAGAAUAAGCACCGGCUAACUCUGUGCCAGCCGCCGCAGUAACAC